GACACUGAGCUAGGGUGGCCAUGCCUCGCCCUGACCUCAGGCCCAUGGGCCCCGUGGAUGAGCAGGGGCAUGCAGGACAGGCCUGCAGGGCAGGGCAGGGCAGUAGGGUUUUCAUCGGCAAAGCCCCGUGAUCCUCACAGUAGCCCCAGGAGUUGGACCAGCCUGGACCCUUACCCCAUUUUACAGCCAGAAACAAGAUAAGCGCCUUGCAGGGGCCCUUAACUGACUGCUGGGUUCGAUGGUUCAAAGAGAAAAAGCACGUGAUAACUUUGAAGGAGGCUGCCUGGCUGAGCUGAUCGGAUCACCUAGAGACUGGAAAUGCUUUCUGGUCUGAAGUCACCUGCCCUAUCUGGACAUUCCAUAGACUACCACUUUUACCCACGACUUCGAUGUGGCAUGCUCAUUGGACCAGAUAAGCAAGCAGUGGCAAGUGGAUUGGAGGUCUUGGAAUAUGAAGGCCUGGCCCUCGUCUCAGCUUGGAAUAAAUCUGAAGGCCCAUCACAGCUUCAGAGAUGCUUGGAGAAGGCUGAGGUCUCCCCUGUAACCUUAUGAGAACCUUGAGUUGUUGAACUCAUUAAUUCUUUGGGACCAUCUUCCUGAUGUUCAAGUUUGUGAAACAGGCUUUCCCUUUAAGAUUUGUUUUCCUCAAAAUACAAGACUAUUGAUGCUUCAGUUUUGAAGUGGAUUCUGCACUCAAGAAAUGUACCAUUGAAGAAUGGGACUGGUAGGAAGGGAAAAAAACUAAAAGGAAACGCAUUUUCGAGUUGCACAUCAUGAUCAGGCACAGAGUCCAGAUACACUUGGAGUAGCAAGCAUCCAUCCUUGUGGAGACGCACAUGAACCAGGACUCUCUGCACCCACCCCUCUCAAGUUUUAUUUUCCGACGGCUGUAAUGUUCCAGGACACCUGCCAUCAUGGAGGGUUAUCCAGCACCUGGAGGAUACCUGCUACCUAUUUUGUGAACAAUUUGGCAUGAGGAGAGAAAGGAACCUGAAGUUUUUAGCAAGGAAGCUUCCUGUCUCCAAGGGGAUUUUUUCCCACAGAAAUAUAUUGCUGAUUGGAUGUUGCCUCUCUAAUUUUGGAGACCAUAUGUUCUAGGUAUUCCGGGAAAAAUCUGCAUUUCAAAUCCUGGAUCCAUUGUUCCCAAAAGCCAUGUAAGAAUCCCAACAGAGAUAGGUCCCUCUCAUGGAUAUGUCCUAUGUCCCAGGGAUACCGCUCAAAGCAUUUUGUGGCUGAAGACAUUUAAUCUUUCAUAGAAACUCCUGAAGAAGAUGUUAUUGCUAUUAUAAUCAUAUGUAUUUGGAAAUGAAGACUUUGAAAGGUUCUAACUUAUUCAACAUUUCUCAACCAGCAUGUGGCAAAGUUCUGAAAGUCUGUUAUUCUAACCAACAUCCUACCUUGAGGAGCAAUGAUGUUCACCUGUCUGGUUGCCACAACUCACGUCCUUCUGUGGGCAGCAGAGUUCCAAGACGUUCCCCAAGAUCUCAUUUUCUGGAGGUGCAUGUCUCCCGUGACCCCCUCUUUGGAUUGCCCGCAGAGCCCGUGAAGAUGGUGUUAUCACUCCUGUGAUUACUUUACUGAUCAGGUGACUUUGAGUCAAUCAAAAGGUAGAUUAUCCAGGUGUGCCUGAUUUGAUCAGGUGGUCCCUUAAGGAGGCUUAAAAUGACCCUUUCUGAAGUAGAGUAAUUGGAAAAGUAAGAGGGUCUAUGGGUGGGGUCACCUGGCAAGGAACUGAACUCAGCCUCCAUGAGCUCUGGCCACCAGCUGACCUUUAGCAAGAAAGCAAAUCUUUCUUUGGUCAGUCUCCACAACAGGACGAAGCUGGCUGAGCCCUUGCCUUUGGCCCUGUGAGAUGCUGACCCGAGUAUCCAGCGAACACGUGCCAGAGUCCUGACCCAUGGAAACUGAGAUGAUGAGUCUGUGUUGCUUUAAGCCACUGUGUCUACAGUAAUUGGUUAGACAGCAAUAGAAAACUAAUAAACCUCCCUCUUUUUCAUUUA
rnacentral:lncRNA from 1 species